GGAUGCUUAGCUCAGUUGGUAGAGCAACGGACUCUUAAUCCGUGGGUCCAGGGUUCGAGCCCCUGAGCAUCCA
rnacentral:tRNA from 1 species